rnacentral:rRNA from 1 species
AUGGUUGGUUGGUUUUGCACUUCGCAGGCGGACGCGUCCACAGACAAGGUGUAUUCGCAGCUCUCGCUGCUACCCGAGAACGAGCGUUUUGCUAAGCCUCGGCCUGAUGUGCUGCAGGAGGUGGUCCGGCGGAUGCACGAGUCCACCGAGGACGGGAGCGGCAACGAGGACGAUGAGACCGUUAAGCCGCGCUUCACAAGGAUGCCGCACAUGUUCUGCAAGACGCUCACCACCUCCAACACCAGCACCCACGGCGGCUUCUCCAUGUCGCGCCAUGCCGCCAAAGACUGUUUCCCCCCUCUGGAUUACAGCCAGCAGCGGCCGUCUCAGGAGCUGGUCGCCAAGGAUUUGGAUGGCACCGAGUGGAAGUUCCGUGACAUAUAUCGAGGAUUUGUACUUGCGUUUGACCACCUGCCUUUUUGA